GGUGAGGGUUUUUUACAUGUUUUUGGAAAAACGGAGGAUUUUUUUACCCAUUUU
rnacentral:sRNA from 1 species